rnacentral:rRNA from 1 species
GGGAAGCCGCAUGGCUUUUUCCUGAAAACUCCGGUGGUACAGGAUGGGCCCGCGUCUGAUUAGCCAGUUGGCAGGGUAACGGCCUACCAAAGCGACGAUCAGUAGCCGGCCUGAGAGGGCGGACGGCCACACUGGGACUGAGACACGGCCCAGACUCCUACGGAAGGCAGCAG